rnacentral:rRNA from 1 species
GAUGAACGCUGGCGGCGUGCCUAAUACAUGCAAGUCGAGCGAAUGGAUUAAGAGCUUGCUCUUAUGAAGUUAGCGGCGGACGGGUGAGUAACACGUGGGUAACCUGCCCAUAAGACUGGGAGAACUCCGGGAAACCGGGGCUAAUACCGGAUAACAUUUUGAACCGCAUGCGACGGACUUGAAAGGCGGCUUCGGCUGUCACUUAUGGAUGGACCCGCGUCGCAUUAGCUAGUUGGUGAGGUAACGGCUCACAAAGGCAACGAUGCGUAGCCGACCUGAGAGGGUGAUCGGCCACACUGGGACUGAGACACGGCCCAGACUCCUACGGGAGGCAGCAGUAGGGAAUCUUCCGCAAUGGACGAAAGUCUGACGGAGCAACGCCGCGUGAGUGAUGAAGGCUUUCGGGUCGUAAAACUCUGUUGUUAGGGAAGAACAAGUGCUAGUUGAAUAAGCUGGCACCUUGACGGUACCUAACCAGAAAGCCACGGCUAACUACGUGCCAGCCGCCGCGGUAA